CAACGUUCCUCAACACAGUUCAUGAGAACCGUCUCAUGACCUUCCUACCACAUACACCCACUAGGAAUGCAACGGUACACGAAAAUCACAGUUUGAACCAUCAGAAGUCACCAAACUCCGGAAGAAGACCCAAGCUGUCCCCUUCAGAUGAAAGGAAAUUACUGAGGAUGUUCAGGAACCACACAUGAACCACUAACGAUCAGGCCCACAUGAACUGGAAGCUGCUGUGACACCAGUGUGACAUCUCCCCAGUGAAGCCAGAUUAACAUCAGCAUGGACUCAGCAUGGCAGUGGCAGCAUCAUGAUGCGGGGCUGCUGUGCUGCCGUUGAAUGAAAUGGUGCAGGCGGAGAAAUCAAGAGCUAGAUGGCUGGAACGUGGACAUAGCAGGAAAACGAUCUCAAAUUGGAUUUGAAUGGAAAAAGCAGACCAACAAAAAGCUUCUGGAAUCAUCUUUUCAAGGUCUCGACUUCGACCAUGUUGAAAACAUGUGGACUCUGCUCAUUUAAAGAAACUUCACCAAUGCCUGUCUGGUGCCUAUCUCCAGUAAUCAGUGGAGGACAACCUGGCCAGGUCGUCAGUUCAUCACAGGGCAACAUAGAGACACACAGGACAGACAACCAUACACACACACACACACACACACUCGUACCUAAGGACAACUUAGAGAGACCAAUUAGCCAAACAGUCAUGUUUUUGGGCUGCGGGAGGAAGCUGGAACACCCAAAGAGGACCAGCGCAUGCACAGGUAGAACAGGUUCAAACUCAUGACCUUCUUGCUGCAAAGCAACAGUGCUUCCACUGCACCACCGUGCAUUGAAUUACUUCACUAAUGGCCCCGUCUUGUGUGGGACACUACGAAUGAACAGAUGUCCAGACAGAACAACAUCCA